GCAUGGGUUUGGAUUUAUGCCAGGCCUGCCCCCCUGGGCCUCUCCUGGUGCCCCAUGCCGGGGCAAACUGUGGCCCCGAACCGUUGCCUGGCCUGUGCCCGCAGGCUCCCGGCACUGAAUCGGGUUGCACAGUG
rnacentral:snoRNA from 1 species